AGGAAAUUCAAAUUACCCAAGGCAGCUUCAAGCUUUGCAUAAAAGGUUAAUCUAAAUAUGACUAUAUAGUAAAAACUGAUCUUUAAUAAAACUCAAUCCAUUUCUCCAUUUAUAUGGUAAGAAAUAGAGGUAAAAUCACAUCAACAUGCUCAUAUACACAUCCGACUAGCAUAAAUUAUAAUACAUAUUUUAUGGCCAUAUGAUCAGACCAUUGCAUCAUGUUCAUUGUGAACAUUCAUGCACAGAAAUUUUAAAUUAAUAUUAUGCCAAGUGAUAACCAUGGUUUUUUUUUUUUUUUUUUUU
rnacentral:misc_RNA from 1 species